rnacentral:lncRNA from 1 species
AGAGGACCUGACUGUAAACAGAGAACAAGCUGUAUGCACUCUGGAGUUCCCUCAUGCUCUACAAACCCUGGCUGAUUCUCAGAUCCCGGAGGGUCACACCUAUGGGUAUGAUAGACAAAAUUAAACAAGAGUUGGGGGUAUCUUCAGUUCUGUCUUUAUCUGUACAACUAGAGUUUGGUUUCUUGGAAGCAGCAUGGAACUUGUGCUUCUUACUCUUUGAACAUGGCAUGAAUGAGCUCUUGCUGCCUGUGAGUACAUCAUACUCAUGGUCAAGUGAAAUGCCAUCGUUUCCUUCUAGAGGACAACUGCUUCUGCCUUUAAAUCGCCUGUCUUUGAAAAUGCAAAGUAUCAGGCUGGAGAGAUGGCUUGGCCUGAUGACCUGAGUUCCAUCCCCAAGGCCCAAAUGGAAGAGAGAACCAAUUCAUUCAAUUGUUCUCUGAUGCUUACAUAUGUGCUAUGACACCCACGGCUGCCACCCAAGUAAAUGUACAACUAUAUAAAUUUAAAAAAUUUUUAUAGUGCAAAAUAUUCAGUACUUCUUUUUAAGCUUCAAUGAUUUUUUGUUUUGUUUUAAUAUGGAGGUGGAUCGCUGAGAUGGUUCAGUAUACGAGGGUAUAUGAUUCUUCCAGAGGAUAUGAGUUUGGUUCCCUGCCACCCACCAUCCGGUCUUUCUUGCAUUUUUGAAAAAAGAGUCCUUUUCAGAGUGUUCAGCUUUGCCUCCUAUCCCCUUGGAAGCUCGUGCUGAUCAAGACCCAGGGUAGAAAGAGAGAAGUGACUCUCACAAUCUGUCCUCUGGUCUCCACAUGUGCCCCAUCCCCUAAAUAUGUAAAUAAAUCCAUGGAUAAACAAGUGAACAGUUAAACGUGUAAUAUAAAAUUUAAAAUAGGGAGUGAAGUGGCAUGUGGAGCAUGCUGGGAUACAGUGUCCUGAACAUUGAAUUCUCACAGUCGAUAUCUGCCAAUGAAUGACCAAGCAAGAAG